UACGAAGGGGGCUAGCGUGCUCGGAAUCACUGGGCGUAAAGCGCACGUAGGCGGAUCUUUAAGUCAGGGGUGAAAUCCUGGAGCUCAACUCCAGAACUGCCUUUGAUACUGGGGAUCUCGAGUCCGGAAGAGGUGAGUGGAAUUCCCGGUGUAGCGGUGAAAUGCGCAGAUAUCGGGAAGAACACCCGUGGCUAAGGCGGCUCUCUAGUACGGUACUGGACGCUGAGACGCGAAAGCGUGGGGAGCGAACAGG
rnacentral:rRNA from 1 species